UACGGAGGGUGCAAGCGUUGUCCGGAAUCACUGGGCGUAAAGGGCGCGUAGGCGGCUCAUGAAGGCUGUGGUGAAAGUCCGGGGCUCAACCUCGGAUCGGCCGUGGCGACUCGUGGGCUGGAGCACUGUAGAGGCGGGUGGAUUUCCGGGUGUAGCGGUGGAAUGCGUAGAGAUCCGGAAGAACACCAGUGGCGAAGGCGGCCCGCUGGGCAGUGGCUGACGCUGAGGCGCGACAGCGUGGGGAGCAAACAGG
rnacentral:rRNA from 1 species